CUGAGUUUACAACUCCCAAACCCAUGUGAACAUACCUAUCGUUGCUUCGGCGGGACCGCCCCGGCGCACUCUGCUGCCCGGAACCAGGCGCCCGCCGGAGACCAUCAAACUCUUGUUUUAUUAGUGAAUCUCUGAGUUAUCAUACAAAUGAAUCA
rnacentral:misc_RNA from 1 species